GGGAGUAUAGCUCAGGUGGUAGAGCAAUCGCCUGCAAAGUGAUCGGUCACGAGUUCAAUUCUCGUUACUCCCU
rfam:Spironucleus salmonicida unplaced genomic scaffold scf7180000020476, whole genome shotgun sequence.